ensembl:lncRNA
GUCAGGAGUCUGAGGGUGCUUUUUCCACACCAGGGGCCCUGCCCUCCGCUGUCUUUAGUUGGUCGGUUGCCAGGGAGACGGGCACGAGAAAAACCAGCCAAUCACCGCCGACCCAGCAACUUUUCCUUUUCCUUACUCCCGCUACCACCACCACCACCCCCGCCCCCCCUCACAAAGCUGCGCUGUGGUCCAGACAACAGUUCUAGGCUACGUAGUUCAGAACUCGUCCGGUUUUCGGUUCUUCAGGGUGAUAAGCAGACGAACCACUGACUCCCUCCAGCGCCACUAGCUAGGGCUCUUAGCCCUGUACCCCUGGCUGGCCCCCAUGUAGAGACCAGGCUGGACUAGAAUUUCUGCCUUUUACGUGCUGGGAUUACAGGUGUGUGCUACUACACCUGUAUGUAAAUAUAUUCAGGUUUGCUCGGUCCAUCAGCCUAAGGAAAUGAUGAAAUCGACCAAUUACUAAUAGGAAAUAUGUCAGAAGCUUUAAAAUUUCAUGAGAAACAUCAUGUUAAUGGGAAAGGUUUAAAGAAAAAAAUUCCCAUUGCUCGGCGACAAGCCAAAAAUAAUAAAAAAGUGCCUUACAUGUUCUCUCUACAACCAAACUCCAUUACCUGUGGGUAGUAACCCUAGGGGCACCAAAAGAAAUGACAUCUGGCAGUGGAUGUUUUCCAUUUCCCAGAAUUUGGAAAGCAAAGAUAUAUACACCAUGCAUACCAUUGACCCAUUCUCGGGGUUUCAAUGGGCAACUGCUUUAAGUUCUGAAAGGCUGACUGUGCAAUUACACACUUACUGGAAAUAAUGGCAGGGUUGGGGAUUUAGCUCAGUGGUAGAGCGCUGGCCCUGGGUUCGGUCCCCAGCUCUGAAAAAAAGAAAAAAAAAAAAGAAAUAAUGGCAAUUAUGGGUCAGCUGCACCAAUUAAAACUGAGAGUGCUCCCGCGUACGUAUCCGAUAAGAUGAAGCAGUUCUCUGCAACCGUAAGAUAUAGCACGAUACCACACAAUCCCACAGGACAAGCCGAAAGAGCCAAUCACACCUUAAAAGAGAUGCUGAGUAAACAAAAAGAGAGAAUGAAAACCGCCAGGGACAGACUAACACUCAACUUUCUUACUGUUGGCGAGAAAGGGAGCUACAGCCGCUGAGAGACACUGCGUUAUCAAAAAACUGAGCAACCGGUCCAACCAAUAUACUAUAAGGAUGUGUUGACAUUAGAAUGGAGACCUGCAAUGGUUUUUAAGAUGGGGACGUGGUUUAUGCUUAUGUAUGUACAGGGAAUGAAAAAAAAAUGUCAAUACCAAGAAAACUUACAAGGAUUAGAUCGGACCAACAAAACUUAUAAAAAUCAGAUCUGACCAGGGAAAACCUCUUAUCACCGGAGACAAGGAUGUCUCCACAAAGCAAACAGCCCAAAUAAUUCUCAGACUGUCUCAAUUACUGACUUCUUCAGAAAACGCAUGCAAAUCAACUUCAAAGGGCUGGGCCAGGUGAUCCGUCAUGAAGAGCCGGACAGACAGACAAUGCAGAGACUGAGUAAUAAAGGCUGCACUUAGCUUUUUUCGGACUAACCAUUUUCUGGAUAAUUUUGCUUGCUUUACGUGCUAUGAUUGCUGUCAUCUAGGGUUUUAGGUUGUUUUGCUUAAUUAUUGUUUAUUGAUAAAAAUGUAAGUUUUUGUUUAAUUAGUGUAUAUUAGAAUUAUUCUAUGUUGAUAUUAAUAGAAAUUUAAGUUAUUUUUCUUUAAUUAGUGUAUAUUGAUAGAAAUUUAAGGUUGUUUUACUAGACUAUUGUUUCACUAUAUUGUACAUAAGCCACUUAUUUAAAAUGUGAUGGUUCUUAUAAUUAUUUCUAGUGCGUAUAGACUGCUAAUGUUAGCGAAGCGGACAAUUCUUAGACAGAAAGGGGGAUAUGAAGUGGAAACUUAAGGAUUCUUUGGAAAGCCAGUUGGAUGACGUUUCACUGGGGCAAACUCACGAAGGAACGUUUCACUGACGCAGACGCAGGAGCUCGGAUGUUCUGCUAAAGCAGCACGGGGCAGGACGAGUGAGGAAGGAUUCUUUGCUAAGGACUCGCAUGUGUUGCUCCACCUUGCACUGUGUAGUUGAGCUGCAUUUGUCAGGACUCCAGAGAGAGAAAUGCAUCAGACAACGUCUGGUGGUGUGCUGCAGUUUCUUGCUGCUUCCGAAGACUGGGGUUCAUUGGAUGCACAUGCUGAGGCAAAACCCACGUUGAGAAAAGUCACAUGGAGGACACAUGAUGUUUGGAGGGUAUAAAUAGGACUUUGUGGAGUGACAGAAGCAGAACUUGGCUUGCUGUACAGCCAGUUGUGCCAUGCUUGUGGGUGUCUCAUCUUUGCUGAUCUUCACAUCCCUGAGAGAGGCACAGCCGAGAACUUCUCCUGGUGUUCUGUUGGUCUCUCCUGGAGCUGAAGCCGAGGCCUGGCUGUCUCUGCUAGGUCGUGUCACUGCUGCUGCUGACCUGACACUACAGAAAUGGAGCUGGUGUAUCUGUGAGGUGUUUGCGAGUGGAUCGAGCUGCCGCUGCCUGCUCACCUGUGAACUGAACUGCCAAUUUCCAGACAGCACAGACGGAAGUUGUUCCAAAGGACCUCUCUAAACAGGUCCAUUCCACCUCCCCCCAGCCCAGUAUUCUCUCUUUUUCAACUACCUCUGGUGGGUAGUGGGCUAAAGGGAGGUUAAAAUGUUUAAGAACCAUCAUAAAAAAAUAAGGUUUGAAAACAUUUAAAGUUACAAAGCAG